GACGAACGCUGGCGGCGUGCCUAAUACAUGCAAGUCGAACGCAGUGGGGACGGGUGAGUAACACGUGGGUAACCUCCCAUCAGAGGGGAUAACACUUGGAAACAGGUGCUAAACCGAUAUUGAUGGAUGGCCCCGCGGUGCAUUAGCUAGUUGGUGAGGUAACGGCUCACCAAGGCCACGAUGCAUAGGCGACCUGAGAGGGUGGUCGGUCAAACUGGGACUGAGACACGGCGCAGACACCUACGGAAGGCAGGAAUAGGUAAUCUUCGGGAAUAGACGGAAGUCUGAAAAAGCAACGCAGCGUGAGUAAAGAAGGUUUUCGGAUCGUACAACUCUGUAGAUAGAGAAGCGGUAUCUAACCAAAAAGCCACGGGUAACUACGUGCCAGCCGCAGCGAUAUUAC
rnacentral:rRNA from 1 species